rnacentral:tRNA from 2 species
GGGCCUGUAGCUCAGCUUGGUUAGAGCGCACGCCUGAUAAGCGUGAGGUCGGCUGUUCAAGUCAGCCCAGGCCCACGA